rnacentral:piRNA from 1 species
UGAGGGCUCAAAUUCCGCCUGAACC